rnacentral:lncRNA from 1 species
UUCUUGAUGUACUAAGGUGGGAGAACGUCUUUUCUUGAAGAAAUAUGACCUGGAAUUAAAUAAAUUAAAGAUUAGAAACAAUUAAACAAGAACAAAACAGAGAAAAAAAAACAAAGAAAAGAAUGAAUGAAGAUGGAAGAAGAUAAAGAAAGAAUGUAAAAGUCAUAAAGAGCCUUGGAAAUAAGAUGAAUCCACAACCCACUUCAAACGGCUCUAAUUUACCCUCCAAG